AGCGGAGGGAGAGGGCGGCGGGCAGGCCUCGGGGGGAGCGGGCGCGGGCUGCCGCCUGGGGGAAGAGGACAAGGCCCUUCUCCAGCUGGUUUGGAGGCUGUGCCCUGCGGGUUGUAACAGGGCCGAGGCGGCGGGCACGGCGCGUGAGCGGAUGAGCUCUGGGAGGAAAGGUGCUAUAACGCCUUUUCUCUGCAUAUACCUACGUACAGAGCGGUAGGGAGACCUAGAAGGCAAGGAUCCUUCCCAAAUCAGGGCAGGUGCCUGCCCACGUAGUGGUCCAAGGUUAUCCUGCCUCGAUUCCUCUUGGCCUGCAAAAUGUUGUCGUAAAUUAGGGGAGAACAUGGGGAGAGUAUAGGCCAACUCCUCAUCUGCAUCAGCCUGAAGAAAGGGACCGGAGCACAGAAGGAUCUGCUCCUGCUAUGUGGAAGGAGGCAUGCGGCCUCCUCCCUGCCUUUCCUGGAGGACUGCCAACCCUUGCACUGCCCCAUCUUUAGGGGUAUAGCUACAUAAGGAACCCUACCCUGGACCUGCAUUCUGUGCCAGAUGCUUACUGAGUACAGCAAUGUAUGCAGAUAAUUGCACGAUAAGAUAUUCAUUGGCUUUCUGUAACUUAGGCUUGGAAAUGCUCUCUACACCAUAUCUGCUUUCAUUACCUUCAUAAGGUGUGACCAGUCUCAGGAAUUUGAUGAUAGAUCAAAUUCGCCACGGGGGAAGAGAGUCCUUUUUCUACUAAAAUCACCGUAACUUUCCUGACGCUGUCUUGCUCGGCUUUCAUAUCAUUGCAAGAACGUAGAUUUUUGCUAAAACUCCCUCCCUUGUUUUUUGUGAACCUCUUGAACGGUUGUGGGAAUUCACUGACAGAUGAAGGACUGAAGGGCUCAGUACAGGGAGCACACACAGCGCCUAACUUUGAGCUUGUGGCAUAUCCAGCAGACUCCUGGACACAGGAUGGGACAGGGCCCCAAGAGUUGCUGACUUCACACGUCACACUAAUGCAGUGUUUGCUUGAGGACAUGCAUCCUGAGCUGAUGGGCAAUGUAGCAAGCAUCUAGGUAUUUCUGAGGUAACAGGAAAAAACACGUUCUCUUCUGUGACCUUCACAAGCCUUGAACCUGCUUAUUCACAGGUAUUUUUCUG
rnacentral:lncRNA from 1 species